rnacentral:lncRNA from 1 species
GCCAUUUCAGAGCACAUGGACUAGAGAAGAGAAACAGAGACUUUCAAAACCACCUUUGGUCAAAGUAAAACCAGGACUUGAUUUGAAGCAGCAUGAACUCAGUGCCAUACAAGAACUUGACACACCAAGGAGCGACAGAUUUUCCACUACAGAAAUUUCAGGAUACAAAGAGCAUCUCACUGGAGAUAUAUUCCUCACUCCCCAAAUUGAUAAACUACGGUCUAGUAAAAGCCCAGCUGAGUCUUUACAGGAAGAAAUAGAUCUGCUAAGAACCAUUUCUAUGGCUGAUGAUAAAGAAUUCGAUUUUGGCCAAAGCUUGGAACGUAUACAAGGAUCAAGCCACGAUGAAUCGAUGUGGAAAGCUAAUGGUUUGUAUUACUCAGAAUUUACUUCUGUAGAUCGACAUUUAUCAAAUUAUCCUGCUGAGAAUGGAAGAAAAGUUACAUCUCCGGAUCCAUCACUGAGGCCAAACAGCCAAGUAAGUAAUAAAA